GUGACUUAACUGCACGGUUGAUGUACUAAGUAGCUAAACAUCUGCCUUCAAUACGCUCCACAGGGAGAAAUGCUGCAGCAGUAUCAGUCUGUUACGGCCAUUAUGUCGGUGACGUAAGGGAAUGCAACCAAUGACAUUACAGUAUCAUUCGCGCGAACACAAUUUAAAUUGUCGGCAUUGUGUACGGAAGUCAUUUUUUGCGAAUUGCGACUUGGAGAAACUGACUAUUGUUUGUGAUGGCGUGUAAAAGAAACCUGAGUUUUACUACUCCCGUGAGUAAUAGGGCUUUGCAACCAGCAGCAAGCCCACUGAGCAUAAAUGAUUUAAUGAAACAGCUGAUCUCCGGUCAGAACGCUUUGUCUCGUCAGCUUGAGGGUUUGAUGGAGAAGCAAGCUGCAAACACUGUUCUUCUCGAAGAUGCUAUCCAGCGUCUUUGUGCUCUUGAGCGGAAAGUUUGAGAGCAAAGACCGCAAGAGGAACAAAGACCGCGGGAAGAGCCAUUACAUAAAAGGAUAAAGAGGGCGCACAACGUGGGCAUUGCGGAAGCUGUAAGGCGCCUUCACAAUUCGGAAAACAACCCACAUAAAUAUGAUCCACAAACUGGGUAAGACUGCUGUUUUUCUGCUAUGUUUAUUUGGCCUUUGUGGGCCAUGCUGUUUAUGGGGUUUUACAUAUUCCUUUUAAAUGUAUUUAAUGACACACUUCUCUCUUUCCACACAGAAUAAGUUCGCCUCGUAACCAAGCAGUCAUGACUUAUCUGCUAGAGGAAUUGAAAACAACUUUUGCAGAUGCAGACCCUGAGUGUAUACAAGCGUGUUGCAAGACAUACUUUGAAACACUUCGGAGAAAGUACAAUUUGUCUCAGCCAGAAAAGUCCCAGCUAAGAGAUGCCAUUAAAACAGGAGCUAAAAACCGACAAAGGAAAAGACGGGUAAGUGUAGAAAUUCAUCAACUUGUCUUUAAAGGGAUAGUUCACCCCAAAUUGAAAAUUCUGUUAUUUUCUUCUGAUAACCACAAAAGAAAAUAUUUUUAGGAAUGUUUGAAAUCAAACUGAUCAUGAGCUCCAAUCACUUCCAUAGUAUUUUUUUUCUACUUUAAAGUCAAUGGGGCUCAUGAUUGGUUGGAUUAUAAACAUUCCAUCUUUUGUGGUUAUCAGAACAAAGACAUUUACAGGUUUGUAACAACAUGAGAGUGAGUACAUUGACAGAAUUUUCAUUUUUGAGUGAACUAUUCC
rnacentral:lncRNA from 1 species